UUCGGGGUCCCUGCCUGCGACGUGGAGGCGGGGGCUCAGGAGUCCCUGCUCAGGGAGUUGAAGGCGGGGUUCGGGGUCCCUGCCCCAGACGCGGAGGCGGGGGCUGCCCUCUGGGCGCAGUGGCAGCUGCGGGUAACGAGCGCUUCCGGCGCGUCAGCCGCUAAAUAUAAAGUGCUGAGCGCAUCUUCUCUUUUAAUCCCUCCCCUCCCCCAAACCUGCGGUAGCUUCGUGUCCCUUAAAAUAAAUCCCAGCCCGCUACCAGCGCCUCAAAGCCCCGCCUGGCUUGGCCUGGCCCGCCCGGCUCCAGCCCGGAGGCCUCCUGGGCGUCCUCGGUGAGAGGCGGAGAGGGGGGCUCCGACUGUCCCUGCGCGGUCAGCCACUCAGAGCGCGCACGUGUGCGCUGGCUUUUUGUCCGUCUCUCCCUCUGGCCCGGCCCAUCAGAUCAGGGAUUAGUGCUGGGCCCUGGAAGAAACUUGGUGCAUGGGGACCAGCAUUUUAUAAAAAUGAAACAGAAUAAAACGGAAACUAUCAGGGCAUCCCACAUAGAAUAUUGUUUUGUGUUGAGGCCAUUUACAUGUGUGAAUAUUUACGUGGGUACUGGGUCAAAUGUGGGAUGCGUUUCUUACCAGAGUGCCAAACAAACGAAUGAAAGCCACUGCAGAGAACAACUUGAGCCGCCCCACAGACCAGGCGUUCUGACUCCCCUGGUCUUACAGAGGAGGACUGAGAUCCAGCACAGGAUAGAGGAGCUGCUGGCAGGACAGGUGCCUGCCCGUCACAGAACACUCUGGUCCCACUGGCACUCAGCCAUGGCCAGUACCAGAAUUUGAGAAAAGGGAGCGGAAGAGAUGGAAAAGUCUUCCAAACGUAUCUGCCAAGAGCUACCUGUACGUUUUAGACCUGGUUCUUGACUCGUGGAAAAUUGCAGUGGUGAGAGCAAGGACAGGACGGCCAUGGGAUUAGUGUAGCCCCACUGAGAGAGCUCUCUGGGGAUCCGGGCCUCCUGCUCCUGGGACAGAGGUAGGGCUCUCCCUCGCUGUGGCACAGCCUUUCCCUGGGAGCACACCUGUCUGGAGUAGCUGUCGUCCCCUGUCCCCUGAUCAUCUCUGCAACCAUCUGGCCUGGUUGUCCCCCCGUGCAGCCAUGCAGCCGCAGCCCUCCCCUCCACUUUCCAGCUCUAGAACAUGACUUGCCCAAUGUUACAGAUUCUGUGCCUCCCAGAUCCUGGUUUCUGGGCCACAGGCCUCUGUGUUGGAGGAGGUGGGGGAGGACUCUUCACUAACAGCAGUUGGUUCUGCCUUGGAAAAGAGAGUUAGACCCGAAGCCUCAGGACCAGGGUGUGGUGUCAUUCCUGGAGACCUCCAAGAGCCUGCUAGGCUUCUUGGUGUGCAGCUAGGUGGUUCCCUGAGGACAUUAGCCACGGGGCAAAUGCCCAGGCAGGGCAGAGGCUAAAAAUAUAUGGGGCACACAGGCCCAGGAAUGCCAGUCCUACCACCCAUUCCUUGGUGUCCUGCCCAGAGCGGAGGGUACUUUGCAGAAGGUUUGAGAAGAGGAACGGUUGUGGCAGUACCUAAACUUGACUCUGGAGGUCAUCGGCGUGGUCUGUGUUCCAAGCUGGGGCACACCCAUCCAGCACGUCCACCCUAGACAGCUCUUCACGGAGCCUAUCUAUCGCCAAGCCUUAGACUCCUGGGGUGGGGAUGGGGGGGGGGUGGACGGAGAGACUGCUGAGGAGCUGGGAAACCCUGAGCAGUUCGGACUCCCUCUCUCAGUUUCUCCGUUUGUCCAACAGAGAUUAUAGCUGUGCUGCCCAUCUCGUCAGUGCUGGUGAGGAGCCUGGAAGACCGUGCCCGUGGGGGCCUUGGCAGGGGCCAGGAGCCCACCGCCUGGGCCCACCCAAUGGGAAGCUGGCUGUGCCGAGGACCACCCACUGCAAACAUGAGCCGCUUACCUAAGCACCUGCUGUGUGUAUGGAGAAGAGUGAAGCGGGCCCUCAUGAGGACAGGUGUGAAUAUGUGGACGUGGGACGCCUCCCGGGUCCCAUCACAGGCUGGCAGCGUCACACGGCCAGCGUCCUGCAAGAGGAGGGCACAUUGCCACAGCAUAUCACUGUGACUCUGAUGUCCCCCUGAGGAAGUAUGGGCCACGUGACCGUGGGUAUGCUAGGUAUCACUGCUUGCUAGGAGCAAAACGUAACAGGUGAGUUGAUUCAAAGACACGUCAGUGAUGGGUGAUCUACAGAGCAAGUCAAGUCAGUGGCCUGAAGCGUGGGAGCGUGCCAGCGGGGCAGGACCUCACCCGUCUCCUGAGGCUGGCACAAGGGAGGCGGGUGCUCGCUUCUGGGGAAGCCCUGGCCCAGCUGCAGGUAGCGCCGCCCGGAGGCAGCCGAGAGUACAGGCGGGCUGGGCGCAGAGAUCAGGGCUGGCUUUGAAGGUGCCACCUACUAGGCCUUCCCAGCAGGGAAAGGGGCUGGAGGCCCGGGGUGUUGGGGGUGUUCGGUGGCCGGAGGAGCCGGGAGGGAAAAGACUGGAAGGGGAUCUUGUUGUUCUUCCGGAGCCAAGAAUUCUGAGGUCUGACCUGCUCUCUGUGAAUCCUGUUGAAAUCCAUUUCCUCCUGCCCAGGGCCCUACAGGGCUGUUUUCCUUAGAGACACGAGGAGCACCGGUAGGUGAGGGCCUGAGGUUCAUGCAUCUUGUUCCCCCUCUCCCCUCCCCUCCCCCUGCCCUCUCCCCUCCCUCUCCACCCUUUCCCAGUUAAGCACUCUGGUGUGAGGGAGCUAGGGAGUGAGAAGUCCAAGAAAAACAUUAGGGCCCCGACCCCAGCAAGCCACAGCCACCUUUCCCGGCUUCCCGCUGGGCAGAGGGCUGAGCAGAGUUGGCUCCCCGAGGGGAGCUGCCCCUCAGAAGUUCAGAGGGAAACGCUUCGAGAUUCUGGAAAUAGGAGAGGGCACCAGAGGAGGCCCGAGGGGCUUCUCUCCUGAUGGCGGUCAACUCCGCUGCUGCUCCCCAAAGCUUGAAGAGUGGGGACAGUGUGGGGGGACAUGUUCCUGGGCCUCACCGCUGGAACCCGGCCCGGGGCCUCCUGGCUGUGGGCUCUCCCAGCGUCCAAGACGUCUAGACCCCACCUCAGAGAGACGAGCACUGAAUGUGCAAGGAGCUGCUCACGCGGGACCAGCGCACAGAAGAACCCAGUCAUGCCCCGUCCCGGAUCCCUGCCUGCGGGGCCCUGGCGGUGAGGGUGACAGCCUGGGUGGGGUACGGGCGGCCUCAGGACCGCCGCCGGAGCCAUCCUCAGCCACAGGGCCCUGCCACCUCUUCCCUCUGCCUGGGGCCCCUCUCGGCCUUUCCAGGGAAGAAGAGACAUCCAGGCCGAGAGGGGCCCGGAGGGACAGCCUCCCGGCAGGUGAGGGGGUGGUUGGGGGUGGCCUGCUGAGGACAGAGCUGGACAGCAAAGUGGCAGAUGGCCUGGGGGUGGCUCCUGGUUCCCCCUCCCCUGCUAGUUGGUGGGGGCCCCUGAUGGUGUCACCCUGCCCCCCACCAGCCUGAGAGCCCUUGCACGGCCGGCCUGGCUCGAGGGGAGCGUGCCAUUGUCGUCUGUCGGGCUCAGCUUACAGGGGCCGUGAGAGCGGCCAGCACAGCGAGUCGGUCCGGGCCGCCUGCCGGCCACCUGGACCUUGUCCCCUGACAGUUCCCGAGGGAAGAGGGAAAGGACGACCAAGUGACCAAGGCCACAGCUGAGGACAGGCAUUCAAGUGACAUUUCUUGAUGUUUCCAGAAGACUUCCCCCCCACUGGCCCACCUCUGGCCAGUGUUUCUACUGAGUGGUUGGAGCCACGCUGCUCGUAUUAGCACCUAGUGCCUCUCAUGAAGACCGGCAAACCUCCAGGAUCAUCAGCCCCUCGACAGAGCAGGCCAGGUCCCCUGUGAAGAGCCCCGGAUCUGACUGGCCCUGGAUCUGGCAGCCAUCACACGGGGGCCCAGGUGACAGCAGCACAGCCUUCGAAGUUCUGAAGAAGCUGCGUUUGGAAUCCCAGAAGCUCUACGCAGUGAAUCUUGAAAGAGGGCUGCCUAGGGCCACCUGCAGGUGACAAGGGGCCCCACGCACCUGUCCCAGGAAGCUGCCAGAGGAUGCACGAAGAGUGGCAGGGGGCCCGUGGAGGGGUGCACGGAAGCCAAGCAGGGCUCGCUGACACCGGGAGAGCUGGGGCAUGGGGUCCCCUUCCAGCACAGGGACACGCACCCCCGGGUGGCCAGUGGAGGAAAUGGGGGGUGGAGGGCCCUGGAAAGGGGCAGAGCCCCCACACUCUUGUGUCAACUCCAUAAGUAGACGUUAGGAAAUUGCCACAGGCAGGCUGCAGAUGGGGGUCCUGCCGGGGUGGGAAGGAGGGGGAGGUGGGCUGUGCUUCCUUAAGACCGACUUUGCUCCGAUGCUAAGUCCGUCCUAAGAGAACUGGGGAGACGGCCUUCUGCCCGCGCCCUGCCCCCAUCCGGGAGAGCGGUCGGUGCGUCUGAGGGGAGGCAGUGCUGACGGGACACGCAGGGAUGGGUGGGCUGUGCUGUCCAGACAUGGCCAGGUGGUGAGAAUGGGCCCUCCCGAGGCUGUCACAACCGGUGGCCCUGGACCCUCGGGUCACCACACCAUCGAUUCUUUCAUUAACUGCUUGAUUGAUUAAUCCCCUGGCCACUGAUGCAUUUGUGCCACCGACGUCCGCUGGGGGCCUUCCACAUGUGAGACCCUUGCUGGGUGCCAGGAUGGAGCCAGGAUCGACACCGGACAGCCACGGGCUGGCCGGAAGGUGGCCUUGGGGGCGGAAGCUGGGAGGCGGGCCAGUGUCCCCAGCAGGGUGUCAGGUCGGUGAGGAAGCCCAGAGAGGCCUUGCGGCAACCGUGCUUUUUGCUCAGGCUCCGAGAGAUGCCCAUUGCUUCCCCUCCCCUGGGUGGCACGGGCGGGGACGCAUGCCAUGCCACCGCUGUCGGCGGGCCUGGGCCUAGCAGUGUCCUUGUUGCUGGGACGUUCUCACCCUCCUGACAGGACGGCGGAUUGAGGGCCCUGCAGUCUGCCGGUCGGCCUGGGGGGCCCUGACUCCACACGCCGCUGGCACUGUGUGCCCCGAGGCACCUCGUCCUUGGCCGUGCCGCCCAGGACAUUUGCACAGCUGUCCCGCACAGGCUCUGUGUCUCUUUUCACGUGUCCCUCCCGCUCUGUGGAUCAGGCCAGGCUGGCUCCUCCCCGCGCCCUGGUCCUUGCACACAGAGUGAAGGGCACAGAGAUGACAAACUUGAGCCCCAGGCCAGCCCAAGGCCAUGCAGCAGGAGGGGACAGAGGAGGGACCAAAGCCAUUCUGGGUGACCAUUACCUGCCUGGCCCUGUGUCUACACCACUAGCCAGUGGGACAGUGAGGAGACCAGCCCAGCACAGGUAAUACCUAGUGCCCAGCUGCCCUGCCUUUGCAGGAGAACCCCUUGCUGGGCCCUCACCUUGCCAUGCCUGAGUAGGCCUGCUCCCACGACACUGCCUCCUGGAAGCCCUCCUGGCUCCCUUCCAAAGCAGCACUUCUGUAUCACCCUGCUGACUGUCCUUGUGCUACUCUGGCUCUGACUCCCUGACUCACGGCCUUUCUGAUUUCCUGUCACCCUCCCGUGCCGGCACGUGUCCCCGGAGCCCAGCACAGGCCUGGCGCACGGUGGCGUCCGGGAGGCGUCGGCCAAGGAAUCGAGGAACACGCUCCCCUCCCCACAUCGUGGAAGGAGACGCCUGCGUGUGGAGUCCCUGCCCCGUGGAAGUCUGUCCCUGGACCCAUUUCUCUCCUCCCCCCACGUCCGCCCGGGAGGCCCCUGGUGGCCCCUGCCGCAGGCCCCCAGGGCACGGGCUGCGCGCCUGCGUGCCAGCGUCCGCAGCUAGCCGCGUUCCCGGGAGAAGCGUGCGUUUCUGUCCCCGCUGUCCGGCAGGGAAUGUUCGCGGCAGCUUUCUUCGCUGUGGCCCUGCCACUUGAAGGGCAGGUAUCCAGCCGGUGGAGAACCGUCUGCACACGCGGGCCUCACCUGCCCGGGGAAGGGUUCCCGACACCAAAGAGAAGUCUGGGGCUCCGGGAGCCUGACCCAGCGUCGCCCCACGACCCUGGCGCUCCCCUCCGAGGGGGGUGCCCAAGACAGGCGACAACGAGUGCGCACAGCGGCACCGUUCCAGAGAUCGAACAACCCAACAUCCGCCAGCCAACGGACGGGUCCAGCAAACGCGGUCUCUCCACCGGCAGAGUGUCACUCGGUCUCAACAAGGAGCGAGGCAUGGACACUGCCGCGUGGACGAGCCUUAAAAACACAGUGCAGAGUGAGAGAGGCCGGGCCCGAGAGGACACACGUCGUAUGAUCCCAUUUGCAGAAAAAUCCACAGGGACAGAAAGCGGCCUCAUGGUUGCCAGAGACUGGGGAGACAGUGGGGUAAGGACUGACUGUUUCCAAGUCUCCUUUGGAACGAUGGAAUGUUCCGGACUGAGAGGGGACAGCUGCACAACAGUGCCAAUGUACUCAAUGCCACUAAGUCUUAUACUUUGACGUGGUUACGGUGGUGGAUUUCAUGUGGUGUGCAUUGUAUCACAAUACAAAUCAACCCCUCACAAAAAUAAAACAUUGGGAGUGGAAGAGCGUGAACUCUGCCUAGUUCCACUGACCAAGUUUCUGUAUGA